UACAACAUCUCAAAUGAGGCACCAGG
rnacentral:piRNA from 1 species